AUUGAACGCUGGCGGCAUGCCUUACACAUGCAAGUCGAACGGCAGCAUGGAGAGCUUGCUCUCUGAUGGCGAGUGGCGAACGGGUGAGUAAUAUAUCGGAACGUGCCCAGUCGUGGGGGAUAACGUAGUGAAAAUUACGCUAAUACCGCAUACGAUCUAAGGAUGAAAGCGGGGGAUCGCAAGACCUCGCGCGAUUGGAGCGGCCGAUAUCAGAUUAGGUAGUUGGUGAGGUAAAGGUUCACCAAGCCAACGGUCUGUAGCUGGUCUGAGAGGACGACCAGCCACACUGGGACUGAGACACGGCCCAGACUCCUACGGGAGGCAGCAGUGGGGAAUUUUGGACAAUGGAUGCAAGUCUGAUCCAGCCAUUCCGCGUGCAGGACGAAGGCCCUCGGGUUGUAAACUGCUUUUGUACGGAACGAAAAGGUCUCUAUUAAUACUAGGGGCUCAUGACGGUACCGUAAGAAUAAGCACCGGCUAACUACGUGCCAGCCGGCGCAGUAA
rnacentral:rRNA from 1 species